rnacentral:tRNA from 1 species
GCAUCGGUGGUUCAGUGGUAAAAUUAUCGCCUACCACGCGAGCGGCCCGGGUUCGAUUCCCGGCCGAUGAU